UAGCAUAUCAAUAAGCGGAGGARMAGAAACCAACAGGGAUUGCCUUAGUAACGGCGAGUGAAGCGGCAAUAGCUCAAAUUUGAAAGCUGGCCCCUUCGGGGUCCGCGUUGUAAUUUGUAGAGGAUGAUUCGGCGAGGGCUCCCGUCUAAGUCCCUUGGAACAGGGCGUCAUAGAGGGUGAGAAUCCCGUAUGUGAUGGGCUGCCUUAGCCAUGUGAAUCUCCUUCGACGAGUCGAGUUGUUUGGGAAUGCAGCUCUAAAUGGGAGGUAAAUUUCUUCUAAAGCUAAAUACCGGCCAGAGACCGAUAGCGCACAAGUAGAGUGAUCGAAAGAUGAAAAGCACUUUGGAAAGAGAGUUAAAAAGUACGUGAAAUUGUUGAAAGGGAAGCGCUUGCAGCCAGACUUGUCCGCAGUUGCUCAGCUUGUCUCCUGACAGGCGUACUCUUCUGCGGCCAGGCCAGCAUCAGUUCGGGCGGUCGGAUAAAGACCUGGGGAAUGUAGCUCCUCUCGGGGAGUGUUAUAGCCCUGGGUGCAAUGCGGCCAGCCUGGACUGAGGAUCUCGCUUCGGCUAGGAUGCUGGCGUAAUGGCUGUAAGCGGCCCGUCUUGAAACACGGACCAAGGAGUCUAACAUCUAUGCGAGUGUUUGGGUGUCAAACCCAUGCGCGUAAUGAAAGUGAACGGAGGUGGGAACCCUCACGGGUGCACCAUCGACCGAUCCUGAUGUCUUCGGAUGGAUUUGAGUAAGAGCAUAGCUGUUGGGACCCGAAAGAUGGUGAACUAUGCCUGAAUAGGGUGAAGCCAGAGGAAACUCUGGUGGAGGCUCGCAGCGGUUCUGACGUGCAAAUCGAUCGUCAAAUUUGGGUAUAGGGGCGAAAGACUAAUCGAACCAUCUAGUUMSCUCGGUUCCUGCGAGCUUCUUUCUGCCUCGAGGAAAA
rnacentral:rRNA from 1 species